rnacentral:rRNA from 1 species
GGAACGAACGCUGGCGGCAGGCUUAACACAUGCAAGUCGAACGCGUGUAGCAAUACACGAGUGGCGCACGGGUGAGUAACGCGUGGAUAUCUGCCUUUUGGUUCGGAAUAACCCCGGGAAACUGGGGCUAAUACCGAAUGGUUCCUUCGGGAUAAAGAUUUAUCGCCAAAAGAUGAGUCCGCGUCCGAUUAGCUAGUUGGUGAGGUAACGGCCCACCAAGGCGACGACGGGUAGCC